GCACAAGCGGUGGAGCAUGUGGUUAAUUCGACGCAACGCGAAGAACCUUACCAGGGCUUGACAUCCCCUGACCGCGUAUGAAAGUACGUUUUCACCCUCGGGUGACAGGGAGACAGGUGGUGCAUGGUUGUCGUCAGCUCGUGUCGUGAGAUGUUGGGUUAAGUCCCGCAACGAGCGCAACCCCUACGUUUAGUUGCUAACAGGUGAAGCUGAGCACUCUAGACGAACUGCCGUUGACAAAACGGAGGAAGUGGGGAUGACGUCAAAUCAUCAUGCCCCUUAUGUUCUGGGCUACACACGUGCUACAAUGGCCGGUACAGACGGAGGCGAAGCCGCGAGGCGGAGCAAAUCCGAAAAAGCCGGUCUCAGUUCGGAUUGCAGGCUGCAAUUCGCCUGCAUGAAGUCGGAAUCGCUAGUAAUCGCAGGUCAGCAUACUGCGGUGAAUACGUUCCCGGGCCUU
rnacentral:rRNA from 1 species